rfam:Oryzias latipes DNA, ultracontig251, strain: Hd-rR.
CAGUUUUCGAGGCUUGUUUUAAGUUGCCUGCGGCUCGUACAUGGACACAGGCAGCUAAAGCAAGUCUGGAACGCUG